UACGUAGGGUGCGAGCGUUGUCCGGAAUUAUUGGGCGUAAAGAGCUUGUAGGCGGUUUGUCGCGUCUGCCGUGAAAACCUGGGGCUCAACUCUGGGCGUGCGGUCGAUACGGGCAUCACUUGAGUUCGGCAGGGGAGACUGGAAUUCCUGGUGUAGCGGUGAAAUGCGCAGAUAUCAGGAGGAACACCGGUGGCGAAGGCGGGUCUCUGGGCCGAUACUGACGCUGAGGAGCGAAAGCAUGGGUAGCGAACAGG
rnacentral:rRNA from 1 species